GAUGAGAACCGGCACGGGACCCGCUGUGCUGGGGAAGUGGCUGCAAUAGCAAACAAUGGGUUCUGCGGCACAGGCGUGGCCUAUAAUGCGCGCGUCGGAGGCGUGCGCAUGCUGGACGGCACCAUCACGGACGUCAUCGAGGCCCAGUCGCUGAGCCUGCAGCCGCAGCACAUCCACAUCUACAGCGCCAGCUGGGGCCCCGAGGACGACGGCCGCACGGUGGACGGCCCCGGCAUCCUCACCCGGGAGGCCUUCAGGCGCGGCGUGACCAAGGGCCGCGGUGGGCUG